ACAUCCAUAUCACGUUGAAUGACCGGUUCCCGUAAAAUCACCGAAGUUAAGCAACGUUAGCCUGUUUAGUACCUAGAUGGGUGACCGCUUGGAAGUACAAGGUGUUGUAA